GACGAACGCUGGCGGCGUGCUUAACACAUGCAAGUCGAACGAAGAGCGAUGGAAGCUUGCUUCUAUCAAUCUUAGUGGCGCACGGGUGAGUAACGCGUAAUCAACCUGCCCUUCAGAGGGGGACAACAGUUGGAAACGACUGCUAAUACCGCAUACGAUCUAAUCUCGGCAUCGAGGAUAGAUGAAAGGUGGCCUCUACAUGUAAGCUAUCACUGAAGGAGGGGAUUGCGUCUGAUUAGCUAGUUGGAGGGGUAACGGCCCACCAAGGCGAUGAUCAGUAGCCGGUCUGAGAGGAUGAACGGCCACAUUGGGACUGAGACACGGCCCAGACUCCUACGGGAGGCAGCAGUGGGGAAUCUUCCGCAGUGGACGAAAGUCUGACGGAGCAACGCCGCGUGAGCGAUGACGGCCUUCGGGUUGUAAAGCUCUGUUAAUCGGGACGAAAGGCCUUCUUGCGAAUAGUGAGAAGGAUUGACGGUACCGGAAUAGAAAGCCACGGCUAACUACGUG
rnacentral:rRNA from 1 species